UUAAAAAGCUCGUAGUUGGAUUUUGGGACGUGCAUUCACAUUCAUAAAGGUGUAAAAGCCUGUGGAAGCGUCUUACUGCUCUAUUGGCGCUAAGUCACCUUCACGGGUGGUUUGGUGUCAAGGUAGUUUGACGUUGCGGGCUCGGUCCAUCAGUGUGCCUCGCAAGGGGCCUCCAUUGGUGUGUUAACCGGCCCGCCCGUCCCCUCCUUCUGGAUUCCCGUUCCUGCUAUUGAUUUAGUGGGAACGUCACAGGGGGUCAGUCGUGUAAAAAGCGGCUGGUCUCUGGGGCCCAGAUCGUUUACCGUGAAAAAAUUAGAGUGUUCAAAGCGGGCAGAUAUUUUUCCUGCCACCGAAUACAUUAGCAUGGGAUAAUGGAAUAGGACCCUGACCUCCUAUUUUCAGUUGGUUUUGUUUACAGCGAGGUUAUAUCAGGGUAAUGAUUAAUAGGGAUAGUUGGGGGCAUUAAUAUUUAAUUGUCAGAGGUGAAAUUCUUGGAUUUAUGAAAGAUUAACUUCUGCGAAAGCGUUUGCCAAGGAUGUUUUCAUUAAUCAAGAACGAAAGUUAGGGGAUCGAAGACGAUCAGAUACCGUCGUAGUCUUAACCAUAAACGAUGCCGACCAGCGAUUAGGAGACGUUGAAUACAAAACACCGCUGUUAAUCCUUUCGGGGGUUAAUAGUUGGUGAAUGACUCCCCUAGCAGCUUGUGAGAAAUCAUAAGUCUUUGGGUUCCGGGGGGAGUAUGGUCGCAAGGCUGAAAC
rnacentral:rRNA from 1 species